rnacentral:rRNA from 1 species
UACGUAGGGCGCAAGCGUUGUCCGGAAUUAUUGGGCGUAAAGAGCUCGUAGGCGGCUUGUCACGUCGGGUGUGAAAGCCCGGGGCUUAACCCCGGGUCUGCAUUCGAUACGGGCUAGCUAGAGUGUGGUAGGGGAGAUCGGAAUUCUUGGUGUAGCGGUGAAAUGCGUAGAUAUCAAGAGGAACACCUGAGGUGAAGACGGGUUGCUGGGCUGACACUGACGCUGAGGCGCGAAAGCCAGGGGAGCAAACGGG